rnacentral:hammerhead_ribozyme from 1 species
AUUCAUCUGAUGAGUCUCAAAUAGGACGAAACGUGCGUCUUGGAU